UCGGGACAGAGUUCCACCAUAUCAAACAAUACAUGUCUAAAUCAUACUAACCAAAUGAGCAACUCCGAAGCAAAUGGAGCGCACGAACAUCUUCCAUUGAGUUGAUAGCCUACUUGGAGGGCUCUCGACCUGUCUAUCGGAACUUGCGGGCAUAAAACGCAGUGUCCCUAGGCAAAAGGGACGUCAGUACGAAUAAUGUACCAAGUAUGUAAGGCACAUAAAUAAAUAUAUAAGAAACAUGGAAGACAUAUAGAGCACAUGACUCAACAUGUAAGUCUGAAUAACUUUGUAAAUCAUAAAUUACUUCUAGCGUCAUGCGUAUACGUAUGAGUAUGAAUGUCAUGUCGUGCAUAGGUACAUGUUUCAUAACAUCAUCAACCUCUGAGGGCAUCCCAUCAUAUCAUAUCAGCCACUGUGGGCAAAAUCAUCAUCGCAUACCAGCUGAUCAGGUGGUGAUGCGUAUAUAAUACCAUAACCUUUUCCAUAUCCCAUAUACAUAUAUAUACAUACAUAUAUAUGCGUAUAUAACGCCGUUUGAAUCAUAUUUCAGCCACUGUGGGCAACAUCAUCAUCGUAUACCAGCUGAUCAGGUGGUGGUGCGUAUAUAAAGCCAUAACCUUUUCCCAUAUCCCUUAUACAUAUAUUUACAUAUAUACGCGUAUAUAACGUCAUCUGGUCAUGGGUCAAUGCACAUGUAUAAAUGAGUGAAAUGCAUGACAAAUACAUAAUAAUCUCAAUAUUCCUUCCGGUUAAACUUUUCCAACUGCGUAUUAUUCUGAGACACAUGAACAGAAGAUAAUAAUAAUUCUCAUGGAGAAUCAAGAAUAUAGACACCCCUACUAUUUUUAUGAAUAGAGUAAUUUAUAGAAAACUGUGUAUUUGCUCGUUUCUUCAGUAUAAUUUGGAUCAUGCCAAAAGAAAAAAGAGAUAGCCUUAAUAUACCUGGAGUAGGGAAAAAUUCGUAUGAUAUUCUUGAGAAGGUUUACACCGUACUCCCUUAAAAUUGCAAAAUCUCACGUUGCUUACGAUACUACGAAACCUCUG
rnacentral:lncRNA from 1 species